GCCUACAACAUAACAUUAAUUCACCGGAUCCCAUUAGAACUCCGCAGUUAAGUGUGCUCAGGCUAGAGUAGUAUUGGGAUGGGUGACCUCUUGGGAAGUCCUAGUGUUUUAUAUGCC
rnacentral:rRNA from 1 species